CCUACGGGAGGCAGCAGUGGGGAAUUUUGGACAAUGGGGGCAACCCUGAUCCAGCCAUGCCGCGUGCGGGAAGAAGGCCUUCGGGUUGUAAACCGCUUUUGGUCGGGAAGAAAGGUUUCUCUUGAAUACGGAGGGACUGUGACGGUACCGGCAGAAUAAGCACCGGCUAACUACGUGCCAGCAGCCGCGGUAAUACGUAGGGUGCGAGCGUUAAUCGGAAUUACUGGGCGUAAAGAGUGCGUAGGCGGUUCGUUAUGUCUGUGGUGAAAGCCCUGGGCUCAACCUAGGAAUGGCCAUGGAAACUGGCGGGCUGGAGUAUGGCAGAGGGGGGUGGAAUUCCGCGUGUAGCAGUGAAAUGCGUAGAGAUGCGGAGGAACACCGAUGGCGAAGGCAGCCCCCUGGGCUACUACUGACGCUGAGGCACGAAAGCGUGGGGAGCAAACAGGAUUAGAUACCCUGGUAGUCCACGCCCUAAACGAUGAUCACUAGGUGUUGGGGAAGUGAUUCCUUGGUACCGCAGCUACGACGUGAGUAGAUCCGCCGUCGGGAGGUACGGCCGCGAAGGUUAAACGUACGUAAAGGUAAGUUAGUUACGGCGUGAGACGUGCCGACGGCGACGACGAGGGAGGAGG
rnacentral:rRNA from 1 species